rnacentral:rRNA from 1 species
GUUCUACGAGACGCAGCAGUGAGGAAUAUUGGUCAAUGGGCGGAAGCCUGAACCAGCCAAGUCGCGUGAGGGAAUAAGGCCCUACGGGUCGUAAACCUCUUUUGCCGGGGAGCAAGGGCCGGGACGCGUCCCGGCCCGGAGAGUACCCGGAGAAAAAGCAUCGGCUAACUCCGUGCCAGCAGCCGCGGUAAUACGGAGGAUGCGAGCGUUAUCCGGAUUUAUUGGGUUUAAAGGGUGCGUAGGCGGGCUUUUAAGUCAGCGGUAAAAAUUCGGGGCUCAACCCCGUCCGGCCGUUGCAACUGGGG